GACGAACGCUGGCGGCGUGCCUAAUACAUGCAAGUAGAACGCAGUUGCGAACGGGUGAGUAACGCGUAGGUAACUGCCUCAUUGCGGGGGAUAACUUUUUGAAACGAUAGCUAAUACCGCAUACUGUGAGAUGGACCUGCGUUGUGUUAGCUAGUUGGUGAGGUAAAGGCUCACCAAGGCGACGAUACAUAGCCGACCUGGGAGGGAGGUCGGGCAAACUGGGAAUGGGGACAGGGCCAGAACCCUUCGGGGAGGAAGCGUAGGGGAUCUUCGGACAUGGGGGGAAGGCUGGACGAAGAACUCCGCGGUAGUUGAGAAGGGUUUCGGGUUGGAAAGCUCUGUUGUUAGGGAAGCGGUAACUAACCAGAAAGGGCCGGCUAACUACGUGCCAGCAGCCGCGGUAAUUC
rnacentral:rRNA from 1 species